UCUACCUUCUUUUCUCUGCCGUGCUUUCGUCAGUGAAAACGGACCUUUCUGGGCAGGCAGCGCGGACACAGCAUUGAGAAAGGGGGGACGUUGGCAACCGCUCAGGACACUGCUCUCAAAGUACUUACACUUCAGUAAUGAAGAGUACAGCAAAAUUUAAAAGGACAGGGAAAUGAACUGCAGAUUUUGAGUGUGAACGAAUUGGGGUUGUGUGUUUCUUUCCCAUUUGUGUAUUUUUGUUAUUAUAGUUACUCCUUCCACAUUGCAAUGCCCCCCCCAAAACUGGAAACCUGCAUAAUUUUUUUUCGUCCUCCCCUCAUACCAGAGAAGUCUACAUUUUUUCUUUUCUUUUAACUUAAAGAAAUAUUGACCUUUAAAAUCCUAUAUAUCUUGGGACCAGCAUAUGUUAAGCACUACCUACUGCCAUAUAAACCAUUGUGACCAUAUUUAUGGACCUGCAUCAUCAGAGGUGAAACUGGUUGCGACUAGAGUUGCCUCCUGGAAACCUUAUUUGUUGUCCGCUGGCAUAUUAGCAAGAAAUGGAGGAGGAAAUAGGAUCAUGUGUGACCUUCAUGGUGGUGCGCUGGUGUCUCUUCUGGUAAAUACUUGUUAGAUUAGAAUUUGCAUAUACUCUCUGGUUUUAUCAUAGAGCCUAAAGUGUUUCAUGGUGUCACCUCCAAUGAAACCCGGAAGUGAUACCAGUGUGAUGCUGGGACACCAAUCCUCACUUCCUAAAUGGGUUGUUGGCUGCAACCUGGCAACCCAAGGAAGGUUCUCAGUCGUGGCACCGAAAUGUUGGAAUUCCCUCCCCAGGGAGAUAAGUGCGUCCCCCUCUAUUGCUGUCUUCCACCAGUGGAAUGAAAAAACCUACAAGUAUUUGUGCGUAUGGAAGGAAGCAAUGAACUUUGCAUGGAACCCCCAUGGAGGAGUGGGAAUGGCUGUUUUUUGUCCAUGGUGACCUCAGCCUCUGAAAAUCAAGCUCACUUUUAUCUGUGUAACUCCACUGUGGCAGGGGACACACUGAUUCCCCUAUUGAAUUCCAAUCACUGAGAUUUUGUUGUGUAAAAUUUCUGUCUCGUACACCCUCCUCAGAAGAAAGCAUUUGUUUGAAAUCAUUUCCACAUGCAAAGCGGCAGAAUUUAUCAUGCUGGCGAGCUGAGUAAUAUUCAGUUGACUGAAGUACAAAAAGACAUAUGCAUCCUAUCAAGAAUAAGCGACACUUGGUUGUCUUUCUAGGGCCCAUUCCUGUUUCUUAGGGCAUUUAUAUACCGCCCCUUCAGAUAUCUGAUUGAGGAAGCCUAAAUGAUUUUAAAAAAUUAAAAUAGAUGCAACUUGGGUUAGUGUGAUCAUGACCCAGUCGCUACUGGGCAGUAUUUUAAAGUGAAAUGGCUCAAAAUAUGCACUCAUUUACAUGUCUUCCAUCUCUGACUGCAAAAACUCAAGCAAGUAGAAAAGGGAAAGUGAAUAUCAGCUCUUAGUGUCCUCUUAGGCAUAUGACUUGCAUUUUCAAAAAGGAAGGAUUUCAAAGGCACCAGCACAUAUCUGUAUCGUUGCUUGUGGUGUAUGACUCACAUUGGACUAGAACCACAGUGUGCAAAGAAUGUCGUCUCAUUCUGUAAAAAGCCUAGCUUACAUAUGGUACCAUCCUGUGCAGAGUUUUGCCAUUCCAAGUCUAUUGCAAUCAAUGGACUUAAAAUGAUGAUGCUUAGGAUCACACUGUUAAUGUGCUCAGUUCAAAAUCACAAAUGCAUUGUAUAGCACGGGAAGGCUUAAAUGCAAUUGGAAAUUAAUUUUCUGAUAUGACCAUUUAUAGUUCAGAAACUGGGUAUGAAUGCAUUCAGAACAGCCUAUGUUUUUUUUUCCUCACAUGCACAAUAGCAGAAGAGCCAAGGAUUGGGGGGGGGUGGGGGACACCUGAAGUUAGCAAGUGUAAAUUGAGACCCACUUAGUGCUUAAUACAAGGAGGGGACAUUGAAUGGGUAUCAUGAAUCUCAGAUUUAAAACAGAUUGAUUUUGCUGUAUGAUAUGUGUUUAUCAGAUUCCAGAAGGGUAUCUAAGUUGGUUAGUUAAAGCAAAAAAUGCACUUGAGGGUAACAAAUAUAUUAUGUUAAUCCCCUUAAA